rnacentral:tRNA from 1 species
GGGCUCGUAGGGUAGUGGACUAUCCUGUCGGCCUUCGGAGCCGACGACCGGGGUUCGAAUCCCCGCGAGCCCA